GAUGAACGCUGGCGGCGUGCUUAACACAUGCCAGUCGAACGAUGAAGCCCAGCUUGCUGGGUGGAUUAGUGGCGAACGGGUGAGUAACACGUGAGUAACCUGCCCUUAACUCUGGGAUAAGCCUGGGAAACUGGGUCUAAUACCGGAUAGGAGCGUCCACCGCAUGGUGGGUGUUGGAAAGAUUUAUCGGUUUUGGAUGGACUCGCGGCCUAUCAGCUUGUUGGUGAGGUAAUGGCUCACCAAGGCGACGACGGGUAGCCGGCCUGGGAGGGUGACCGGCCACACUGGGACUGAGACACGGCCCAGACUCCUACGGGAGGCAGCAGUGGGGAAUAUUGCACAAUGGGCGCAAGCCUGAUGCAGCGACGCCGCGUGAGGGAUGACGGCCUUCGGGUUGUAAACCUCUUUCAGUAGGGAAGAAGCGAAAGUGACGGUACCUGCAGAAGAAGCACCGGCUAACUACGUG
rnacentral:rRNA from 1 species